rnacentral:rRNA from 1 species
AACGAACGCUGGCGGCAUGCCUAACACAUGCAAGUCGAACGGGAUCCGGACUUCGGUCCGGUGAGAGUGGCGGACGGGUGAGUAACACGUGGGAACCUGCCUUUUGGUUCGGGAUAACCGCGGGAAACUGCGGCUAAUACCGGAUGCUCCCGAGAGGGAAAAGAUUUAUCGCCAGAAGAGGGGCCCGCGUCCGAUUAGGUAGUUGGUGGGGUAAUGGCCUACCAAGCCGACGAUCGGUAGCUGGUCUGAGAGGAUGAUCAGCCACACUGGGACUGAGAUACGGCCCAGACUCCUACGGGAGGCAGCAGUGGGGAAUAUUGGACAAUGGGGGCAACCCUGAUCCAGCAAUGCCGCGUGAGUGAUGAAGGCCUUAGGGUUGUAAAGCUCUUUUGCCAGGGAAGAUGAUGACUGUACCUGGAGAAUAAGCCCCGGCUAACUUCGUGCCAGCAGCCGCGGUAU